rnacentral:rRNA from 1 species
AUUGAACGCUGGCGGCAGGCCUAACACAUGCAAGUCGAGCGGAUGAGAAGAGCUUGCUCUUCGAGUUAGCGGCGGACGGGUGAGUAAUGCCUAGGAAUCUGCCUGGUAGUGGGGGACAACGUUUCGAAAGGAACGCUAAUACCGCAUACGUCCUACGGGAGAAAGCAGGGGACCUUCGGGCCUUGCGCUAUCAGAUGAGCCUAGGUCGGAUUAGCUAGUUGGUGAGGUAAUGGCUCACCAAGGCGACGAUCCGUAACUGGUCUGAGAGGAUGAUCAGUCACACUGGAACUGAGACACGGUCCAGACUGCUACGGGAGGCAGCAGUGGGGAAUAUUGGACAAUGGGCGAAAGCCUGAUCCAGCCAUGCCGCGUGUGUGAAGAAGGUCUUCGGAUUGUAAAGCACUUUAAGUUGGGAGGAAGGGCAGUAAGCGAAUACCUUGCUGUUUUGACGUUACCAACAGAAUAAGCACCGGCUAACUCUGUGCCAGCCGCCGCGGUAAAAC